CAUGGUUAAAUCGUGCGCAACUUCACUUUUCGAAGGAUAGCAACGCAUCUUUCCACAAGUUUUUCCUUAAACACUAAAGCUUGAACCUACACUAAGCAUUAAAGUGCUUGCUCACUUACUUCUACCAGAGGAUCUUGUCUCUAUUACAUACUGAUGUCCCAAAACAAUCUUUAAUGGCUGUUUCCAUGCAUUGAUUAUAUAAAGAAUGACUUCAAAAAUAAUUCAGAUAUUCUUUAUUUUAAAUCAACAUUAUAAACUUUUAUCAAAGGACACAGAGUAAAUUAGGAAAUUAGUAUGUAUAGAUCAGAAUCAUAACUACAUUUCUUGUUGAGAAAUAUAUAUACAGGAUCACUUUUUCAAUCAA